ensembl:processed_transcript RIKEN cDNA 4930506C21 gene
UCAUGAAGAACUGUUCUGUGAGAAGCUACUGACUUGUGCUGAAGGACCCUUCCGGUUCUCAUAUGCCCUGCUGCUGCGGUGCCUGUCUAGUUCUGUAUUUUCAGCUGGACCCCUCUCCAUGAGUAGCAUGACUAUUCAUGCUGACAUGAUCUGUGGCUGCAGCAGUGGCUGGAGCACUGUCUCUUUCAAGAGCUGGUUCUUGUACCGCUACGCAGAUGGCCGCUUACUCAUCCUGGAAAUAAUUGGAGACAAUUUCAGUGAGAAACAAAGUCUACCGCCAGUCUCAGAGGCUCUGCAUAGCUUUAGAAGACAAGUUUCUUAACAUGGUUUUGUAACAGUGGUACAAUAUGUUUUUUUUUUUUAAAUUGAGUUUUUUCACCAAUUCCUCAAAACAAUACAUUAAAAUGUGCUUACUCGU